CUUUCUACGCAUAGCAGUGAGGUUAGUCAGUGCAGUGCAGUAGUGUGUAUACACCUUGCCAUACGUCUCAGGAUGGCGUCGCCCAGUGAGCUGUCCCUGGAGGAGAUCCGAAAGUAUCUGCUGGACAACGGCGGCUCUGCUCGUAACCAGGAUCUCGUCAAACACUUCAAGAAGUUCCUCACCGACCCGGAAAGCCGAGUGGAGGCCCGCAACAGAUUCAAGGAGUACAUCAACACUCUGGCGACCAUCAAGACCGAGGAGGGAGAAAAGUAUCUUGUGCUAAAGAAGAAGUUUCGUCAACAAAAUCUAGAUCUGUCUUCACCUACGCUAAGUUUCUCAGGAUUUCCUACAUCUCCGAUAUCCACACCUAAUCUGAGCACCCCUACAUCUCCUUUACGCGAACCUCCUCCGUACAGACCUCCACCAGUGGCACCUCUUAGUCCCAUAAGUAACACUUCUUCACCGGUCAGACGAUAUACUCAAGAUCCUCCUGUGGGUCUACCUCUCAGUUUACCAGUGGAACCUCCAGUCGGCCUGCCUAUUGGUAUACCACAGAAACCUCCUAUCGGCCUGCCUAUUGGUGUACCUUAUAAUGAACCAGUCUUUGAAGACAAUGUGUCUACCAGUGCAUCAAGACUGCCCAAAAGGGAGAUGGCAACGAGUAGUCCUGUUGCAUCACCACCAGUGCCACCUAGACGUAAGAGUCAGGAUAAAAUCAAACUUGCGAAUAAGGAAAACCAAAGUACAGAUGAACAAACACCUAAAAAAGGAAGGAGUGGAUCUGAAUCGAUUAAGGAGGACGAUCAGGCUACGCCGACGUCGAAUCAGCUGACACCAGCCGAGCAGCUGAGUGUGCGCGAGAGAAUGCAGCGCUUCAACCGGAUGGCCAGUGAGACCGAUCUUCCCGCGAGGCCUAACGCCUCGAUACCGUCGGUUAAAAAACGCACCGAUAAGGGAAAUGAAGACGAUGACAGAGCGUCUGUUGCAUCGCAAUUGAUGGAUGGAAAAUCUCGAGAAUGGUUGGUGAGGGCAGCUCAGGGUGACUAUCAAGCUUUGGCCAAACUAGCCGCGGAGGAGCCACGUCUCGCCAGAACUAAGGAUCCAUCUUCCGGCUAUACAGCGCUUCACUGGGGAGCCAAGCACGGGGAUGAGAACAUCGUGAAGCUGAUCGCGGGUACCUGCAAAGACUGGAUCAAGAGUGUCAACGAGACUUCGAAUGGGGGAUACACGCCGCUACACAUCGCUCUGCAGUUCGACCACGAGAACAUUUUCAACCUACUAGUCCAGGUUUACGGAGCCAAUCAAGAUAUUCGCGACUACAGUGGGAAAAAGCCACGCCAGUACUCUGUUUCUCAGAAGGCUGCGGUUAGCCAGGACACGAUGCGCAGGAGACUAGCUGCCAGCGUCGCGCUCAGAAAUAAAAGCAAGGAAAAAGCAUGCAGAGAAAGAUCUUGGUUUCCUACGUAUUGGCUCGUUGAACGUUCGCGUGAAACGAACGACGGAGGCCUUCAACCAGUUCCUGGGAGUAACAACUAAGACGUCGAGCAACAACAGCGAGAAGAUCCACAAAACUUGGGGUUCUGCUGACAAUUUGCCAGCGGACAAAAUGAUGCCACCACCUAAAUACGCGCAAAUCAAGAAGCGACGGAGUCGACGGGCCACGGAUUUCGUCUCAAGCCGUUCCAAUAACCAGCAGCAACAGCAGCAGUGCCAACAAACGGCUAGUCAACCAAGCACACCGACACUCUUAGGCAAGAGCGCAACGGCGGGCCGACGGCCAGCCUCCGUAUCUGCCCUGACGACUGGCGGACUUCUCGCUCAGACUCUCAGUAGCGGCAUCUCUACAGGUUCUAUUCAGAAGGAUCAUCGUCAACAACAGCAGAAUGACUCGGAUUCAGAUGGAGCUUGUGGAUUUGAUUCAGCCUGGCGAGGAUCGGCUUGAAUUGAAUCCGAAGAAGAAGAUUCUGUUUUAGGGACUGAUGUUACUCUUGUAGAAUGAUCACUUUGUUUCUAGAUGAAAAUAUUUAUAUCUCGUCUAUUUCAAAGGAUAUUUAUAAUACACUAUGACAAGAAUUUUCUUGAAAUGAGAGAAUUGUCUUCUGAGUGGUGACGUUGUAUCAUAAACAUAGUUGACUGUAGAAUUAUACCAAUUAUAAAGAGCUUUUUGGAAUUCCGACAGUAUGGUAUUCUCCUUGAAGAAUUUUUAUAGAUUUAAUAGAGAAUAUAUAUUAUUUGAAUUAUAUUUGAAACUUACUUUAAAAUGUUUAGCAGAAUUAAUUUAAUGGAUUGCACGUAUAGUCAAAACCAAGCAAUAAAAAAUGUAUAAAUUAUGCUUUUUCCACAAAAGUUAUUAAGAAGAUAAUGCUCACUCAACAAAUAUUGCACAUAUUAAGUUUGAUUUCUUAGCAAUUGUGUGAUAAAAUUUGUUCUUGAUAGUUGAUUGAAGCUACAAUUUUGAAAAAUGACGAAUGCCUAUGAAAAUUAUACCAAGAAUUACAAAAAACAAAUGUAAUAUUGCCAUGACAAUAACUUAUAGAAACUUAGUAACUACCUAAAACUGUCAAACAAUAUUUAUGUCUAUAUGAUAUAAUGAAACAUUAUUGAAAAAAUGUAUGUGAUUUAGAUAAUAUAUAGAAUAUUAUGAAAAAUUAGAUACUUUUUUAAAAAUAGCUUAAAAUAUGCUAAAUUUUUUUUGAAAGCACAAAUGAAACAUUUAAUAUUUAACAUAAAAAGGGAAAUCGAUUAUUAUAAAAAUCCUAUAAAUAAAAACAUCAAAUUAAUAUUUUUAUUUAGCUUAAACUAAUUUUUCCAUUGUGUAACAAGUGCAGACAAAAAUCGAACAGUGAUCACAACUUGUGAAAUCUGUUACGCAUACAAUUUCAUUAGCUAAUGGAUUUGCAAUGUUUUAGUAGUUAAUGGUUUUAAAAUAUUUGCGAUCAAUUAUUGUAUAUUAAAGGGUCUCUGAGGUAACAUUAUGUUUGCUCCAUUGGAUUUCUCGAAAAAAAAAUUUGUUGUCUACCGUUGUUUUUUGAAAUAUUUUUCGAAAUUUCGACAAUUUUUCGUGCUUGAGUCGAUAAAAACAUUUUAAUGCAUUACCAAUACACAGUGUUGGCUUGAAGGUUUUCGUCAAUUAUUUAUUAUCAGUUGUGUUUACUAUUUAGAUAUCAGUCAAAGUCAUGCUAUAAAAGGAAUGUUUAUAUCAUGUAAAUAAAAUAUAUUUAUUAUGAA